rnacentral:rRNA from 1 species
AACGUAGGAGACAAACGUUAUCCGGAGUUACUGGGCGUAAAGGGCGUGUAGGUGGUUUCGUAAGUCUGGCGUGAAAUAUCUCGGCUUAACCGAGGCAGGUCGUCGGAUACUGCGGAACUGGAGGACGGUAGAGGCGUGUGGAAUUCCGGGUGUAGUGGUGAAAUGCGUAGAGAUCCGGAGGAACACCGGUGGCGAAGGCGGGUCUCUGGGCCGAUACUGACGCUGAGGAGCGAAAGCGUGGGGAGCGAACAGG